GCGCAGUGCGCCUUGCUUUAGAGAAAAGGCUGAAUGGCCUUUCUUUUCUUUUUUUGGGAAGGAGGCAGUGCCUCUUCUUCUUAUUUUUCUCUUAAGGAUUUUUAUAGAAAAUCCUUGAUCUACGAAGAUCCAACGGUCCAAUCUUCAAUCCGAUUUUGGUAACGUGAUCUACGAAGCCCGAUCUAUGUAUCUACCGAUUGGUUUUAGGUAUUUUUGCAAACUCUUGGUCUUUGAGAUUUUAAAUUAAAUCUAAAGAUAUAUGAGUUUGAUUUUAUGUAUCCUUGGGAUUUGUUGUGUGGAGCUCGCUAAACACUCUCCAAGUGUUGGAUUUACAUUUGAUGGAAUUUUUGUGAUACAUUGCAAGGUGAUGUCUAGGAGACCUAGUGAUUAAUAUCAGCGCAGCCAGGUCUUAGUUGAAAUCUAAUUCAAAACACUUGAAUUAGACCUGAAAAUACAUCAAGGGUAUUUUAGUCAUUUCCAGAGUGCGAGAUUGUUCCUGUUAGUUGAAGAAUUGGCUAAGGCAAUUCGAUCGAUCAACUUUAUAAUCGAUCGAUCGAAGUUCAUCAGUCGAAUAAAAAUCGAUCGUGCGAGAAGUGAUCGAUCGAACCAGGACAAGCCCGACUGCGAUCGAGCGAAAUGUGAUCGAUCGACUUCAUAAUCAAUCGAUCGAAUAUUCCGUCUUCCAGAAAUUAAGAUAUUUCCAGAUCUUUUGAAUUCUUUAUGUAAUUCAAACAUAAGUUGGAUUUUGUGGACAGAAAUGGACGCCGACCAGCUCUGUUUGUGCGGCUAGAAUUAACUCUUGAUGGUCUUUUGUAAAUCCAAUUCUCUAUAUAUAUGAGAUUAGGGAUUUAGGUUUAGACAUGCAUCUUCUGGGGUUUUCGGAUUUUCUCAGGUGUAUCAACUUAAUUUCUUGUAUUUCUAGUUUACUUUGAUGCUACUCUCUGGACCGAAAUCCAGAGAGCUUGUUUCCUUUGUUGUUUUUCCAUUAAAUUUCAUGUUCUAGCUUAGGUUUAUUUUAUUUCCUUG